rnacentral:rRNA from 1 species
AACGAACGUUAGCGGCGCGCUUAACACAUGCAAGUCGCACGAGAAAGGGCUUCGGCCCCGGUAAAGUGGCGCACGGGUGAGUAACACGUGGGUAAUCUUCCCUAUGGCGGGGGAUAACCUUCCGAAAGGAGGGCUAAUACCGCAUAAGACCACGUCCUCGAAAGAGGAUGAGGUUAAAGCAGGCCUCUAUACAUAAGCUUGCUCCAUAGGAUGAGCCCGCGGCCCAUCAGCUAGUUGGAGGGUAAUGGCUACCAAGGCUAAGACGGGUAGCUGGUCUGAGAGGAUGAUCAGCCACACUGGAACUGAGACACGGUCCAGACUCCUACGGAGGCAGCAGUGGGGAAUCUUGCGCAAUGGGCGAAAGCCUGACGCAGCGACGCCGCGUGGGUGAUGAAGGCCUU